GACGAACGCUGGCGGCGUGCUUAACACAUGCAAGUCGAACGAUGAAGCUGGAGCUUGCUCCGGUGAAUUAGUGGCGAACGGGUGAGUAACACGUGAGCAAUCUGCCCUUGACUCUGGGAUAACUGCGGGAAACUGUAGCUAAUACCGGAUACGAGGCCUGGGGGCAUCCCCGGGCCUGGAAAGAAUUUCGGUCAAGGAUGAGCUCGCGGCCUAUCAGCUAGUUGGUGAGGUAAUGGCUCACCAAGGCGAC
rnacentral:rRNA from 1 species